UGCCCCGCUAACUCUAAUAAAAAACAUGUAAUCGUAUUUAUUUUCCUUCCGUUUAGUCAGAGGCGCUGAUGUCGGCAUUGUGAUUGGUGGAACAUGACUUUUGACAAAUCCUGCGCUAUCUGUGAAUCUGUAAUCUGUGUUCGUGUUCGUUCGUUCGUUGUCGUUCACUUAUUUUAUAUGGUCGGUUAUGUGAUGUGUUUGGUUUGGUGUUUGUGUUUAGUUUGUGUCACCAUAAAAAGCUGAUAUUCAGUCGUGUUUUUUGAUAUUUUUGUUAUUUCAUAAUCGAGUACCUUUUUAAAGGUAAGUUUUUCUGAUUGUAGUACUGUUUAUCCAACAGUUUUAAAAUACACAUUUUAUUUCGCGUUUUGUUGUUGGGUCUAAUGGCCGAUCAGCUGUUGUGUGCAGCCGAUAAAUUCAACAAGUAAACAUAUAUUUAAUUGAAAUUAAAUACUCAUAUUUUCAUGUAAAAUGUCACAUUAUUGUAUAAAUAAAUAAUUAAGAAACAAAAGUUGUUUGUGUUUUACCUUUAUUGUCCACGUGAAUAAAAUAAUCAAUAUUGGAACUACCGUAUGGAGGCUAUGGUGUACCUAGCGUGGAGGCUAGAUAACGCUACCCUUCCUAUCCAAUCAACAGCAAGAACGUUUAAAAUUUCACACGUAUCAUGUCGAAGCUACAGACCACUUAUGUGGAGGCCAGAUUUGUAGUAUCCUUCCAAUUUUCCAGGUGCUGAAAUACGUGACAUAUUUUUUGAAGGGUUAGACGUUAGACAUCGUAACAUUAAAUUCCAACAGAGGGCGCUCAAAAUUUCAAAGAUGGACGACAACGCCAGGAAAAACUAGAGUCUGUAGCACCCAACAAAAAGAAAUUUCGCAAGGCUAUGAUUGGCUACAAAAUCCCGGCUUGCGAUUGGUUAGAAAGCUGAGUGUGAUCAUAACAUAAUAUAAGCUAGAAUUUAAAUUUUAGUUGACAGUUGUUUGUUGUUUUAAUGUCUGUGCAAUAUCCAAUAAAAAUAAACAAAAUAUAAAACAAUAAUAAUAAUAAUUAUAAUGAUUUCCUAAAGAAAUAUAUGCUUUAGAAAGAUGUGUUAUAACCACAGCACACAAACAGUAAUUAUUAACACAGAAUGAAAUGAUGUCUGAACCUAGCAUGGAUAAUUGAAAAGCACAAAUAAUCCCAACAUAGAUUAUUAAGGAAGCCGACCCGCAUAGGGAUAAGGCAAAGAGAAUGAUGAAUUUGAUAAAUUUUUUAACUGCAGAUCAUACAGGUCUCUAUGCAGAUGAUUCAACAAUUAUUGUUCAACUGAAGUCGGAACUCAUAUCCAAAAUGAACUUGGUAGCACAGGAAUUUACAACCUGGUGUAAAAGGAACUCUUUAAUGGUAAAUGUAUAUGCAAAGAAAACUAUUUGUAUGCAGUGCUACUCGUGCAGUAAGCCAUCCCAUGAUUAUAAGAUCACAGUUAAUUCUGAGGAAAUACCUUUUAGUGAUACAACAGUAUUUCUUGGUAGCAUUCUAGAAAGUAAUAUGACAUGGGAUGAAAACGUUACUAAAGUCUGCAAAAAAAUGAAUAAGGGUUAGUAUGCGAUCCUUCAGUUGAAAACUCUAUUUAAUACCAAUCAAUUGAUAAGUGUGUACUAUGCAUUGGUUUACUCAUAUAUAUGAGUCAUAUUAUAGCCUAUAAUGUUGUCGUGUAGGGAAACUCUUCUAGAGUUUUUGUAACUAAAAAGAGAAUUCUUAGAUUGAUAUUUAAUAUCUAUCGAUAAUAGACAAUCAUGUCGUAAAUAUUUUAUUGAACAAAGACUGACUUUCCAUGCUUUAUACAUUUAUAAGUGCAUUAUUCAUGUUAAAACUAAAUUUCAAAAUUUUACUCUCAACUCUGACUAUCAUAAUUACACGACAAGGCACGGGAGGUUGAUAAGCGUGUGUGUAAACAUUUCACAACUCUUUUUGAUACUAGUCCUGAUUUUACAGGAUCUAAAUUUUACAAUUGUUUGCCACUUGAUAUGAGAAAUGAAAAUAAUAUUCAAAAAUAAAUUAAAAUCAUGCUUGAUCAAAUUAUGUGUUUACAACCUAAAUGAUUACUUUGACUUAAUAAAAGACUACAAGGAAUGAGGACCGACGGGUUCAGAGACACUCUAUAUUGCAUAAUAUCUUUUUUUAUUAAUUUAUAGUUUGUUGAUUAUGUUUUAUAUAAUUGUCCUGUAUGACUUGUUGAUUAUGUUCUAUGUAACUACAUAUAUGGCUUGUCCUAUACUGCUGUGCUUAGAGAAAACACUGUAUCUGCAAAAAUUUAAUUUUUACUUCUUUCUAACCCAAAUGUGCAUAUAUAUCUUAUUUGCUUACUAAAAAUGACGUAAGUUAAACCAAAACACAUUAAACACACUGCAUCUUAUGCUGUAUCUUGUGUAAAUGUAUACAAAUACUUAAACAAAAAUGGAUUUUACUCAAAUGUGAUGUCUAUGCAGAUAUGGUGUUUUCGCUAAUCAUGGCAGUAGGUAUAUCACAGUGUUAUCUAAAUGAAUUAAUAAAGAUAUUCUAUUCUAUAAACAGUAUUACAUUUGCUUUUGUUCACUGUAACACAAAUUUAUUUUGUAGGAACCAAUCUUAGUUUUCGUAAACAAAUAUUUAAAAUUUUCUAUUGCUUUCUAGUUACGUUUCUUUAUGAGUGUUUCCAUGUUUUCUGUAGGUAUCUGGUCUUAUAGCAUCUUCAAAGUAUUUUAAUUGUUGGACCUGGUGGUUUGUUAAAUUUGAGUUUGAUCACCAGUCUGACUUAAUUUUCAAGUAUAUCAGGUUUUUUUCUGUUUUGUUAGGGGUUUAGUGAAUGAGUUCCUAGAGUUGAUCAUCUUUAUAUAGAUCCCUGCUUCUCUAUCCUGUGUAUUCUCCAAUAGAUAUGCUCUUUCAUUCUCUACUCAUUCUAUGUAAUAUUUCAAAAUAUACUUGAGAUGUACUUUUUGUAAAUUUUGUAAAAUAAAAUAAAUUUGUUUUAGAUAA